rnacentral:rRNA from 1 species
CCUACGGUAGGCAGCAGUGAGGAAUAUUGGUCAAUGGACGAGAGUCUGAACCAGCCACGUCGCGUGAAGGAUGACUGCCCUAUGGGUUGUAAACUUCUUUUAUAAAGGAAUAAAACGAGGCACGUGUGCCUUUUUGCAUGUACUUUAUGUAUAAGGAUCGGCUAACUCCGUGCCAGCAGCCGCGGUAAUACGGAGGAUCCGAGCGUUAUCCGGAUUUAUUGGGUUUAAAGGGAGCGUAGAUGGGUUGUUAAGUCAGUUGUGAAAGUUUGCGGCUCAACCGUAAAAUUGCAUUUGAUACUGGCAGUCUUGAGUGCAGUAGAGGUAGGCGGAAUUCGUGGUGUAGCGGUGAAAUGCAUAGAUAUCACGCAGAACUCCGGUCGCGAAGGCAGCCUACCGGCGCGCAACUGACGCUCAUGCACGAAAGCGUGGGUAUCGAACAGGAUUAGAUACCCCGGUAGUC